rnacentral:misc_RNA from 1 species
GUGUGGUGUUAACACUAUUCAACUGCAAUAUCAAUCCAGCAUUAGAGAGCAAAAGAACAGUAAUUGCAAAGAUCAUUAAUUAAUUUAACUAAUUGAUUUACGUCCUACAUUUAUAAGAUUGUAAGAGCAGGUCACUAUGGUAAUAUGUGAUAAUUAGCCAUCUAUAAACAUUUUCAGCUUAUCUGUGCCUACAAAACCUAGAAAGUAGUGCUUCCACAAGUUCUCAUAUAACAGCCCUUUCUCAAUGCAACAUGGUAAAGUAGUAUCCAAAACAGAAAUGUAUCUGGUAGCACUAAGAUGUAAUGCAAGUAGUCACAUAUCAAUAGCAUAUUGCACCACAAGUGAAUCCAGAGAAACAAUAGUAGCUGAUGAAGUGGUGACAGCAGAAGAAGACCCACUCUGAUGGCACUUACUAUGAAAUGCAAGUAACAAUUUCUAAAUCGACUUUAGUUGCUCCUUACCUCAACUCCAGCUUCUCUACUCUUUAGGAUGAUAGCAUUUAGAGUAGGUGAACAAAAUAGUUCGGAGAAUUAAUGGUUAGUAGUUUGAAGAAACAGGUGCAAGUUAUGAAUUUAUCUGGCUCAAGACAAGCGCAUAACUGAAAUGCUUCACUGUUUUAAUUGAUGCUUGAAUAAGAAUUAAUGAUCUAAAGAUUAUUGUAUUUCAUAUAAGGUAAUGUGUUAUGUGUGUUCAUGUAUGCAUGCACAAGCCACUUGAAAGUACCAAAAAGAAAAAAAAAAUCACAUUUCCAGAAGAAGUAUUUCUUAUACCAUAAAAACUAAAUUUUCUGGCAAAUUUAUUUAGAACAUCUUAGGUCUAACCCUGGCUAAUGACAUAUCAUUGCAACUUAGUGCUUGUUUGGCAUUAAAGUUAGAGAGCCAAAACUGCUUUUUAUGGAAAAAAAAAAGCACCAUUUUUUGUUAUUUUAGUAUUCUUAUG